CUGAAUUUUGCAGCAAUGGGCAUUCCUAAGGGAAAAAGGUGAAUGAGACAUGGGUCUGAAGGCUUUGGCAACAGCUACAUAAUCAUAUGUAGGGACAUAAUCAUAUGUAGGGAUGUGGGUGGCGCUGUGGGUUAAACCACAGAGCCUAGGACUUGCUGAUCAGAAGGUCGGCGGUUCGAAUCCCCACGAUGGGGUGAGCUCCCAUUGCUCGGUCCCUGCUCCUGCCAACCUAGCAGUUCGAAAGCACAUCAAAGUGCAAGUAGAUAAAUAGGUACCGCUUUGGCGGGAAGGUAAACGACGUUUCCGUGUGCUGCUCUGGUUUGCCAGAAGCGGCUUAGUCAUGCUGGCCACAUGACCAGGAAGCUGUACGCCAGCUCCCUCGGCCAAUAAAGCGAGAUGAGCGCCGCAACCCCAGAGUCGGCCACGACUGGACCUAAUGGUCAGGGGUCCCUUUACCUUUACUUACAUAAUCAUAUAACUGAAAUGAAUUGGUGAGUAUCAGAACUAGCUGUGUCAUCUGACUUGUUUUCAACAUUUUUACAUGUGAUGCAAUAAUUUCCUUUAGCAGUAAUGAUGGAAGUUGAGUCUGCCUUUUACCACACUAUUAGCUAUUUACACACACACACACACACAAAAUUAUUUUUUAAAAGAUUUUAUCCCACUAUUUUCAGAACAAAUCAUAGAACUGAACAAAUGAUGGUGCUGCUUAAUAUUUGAUAUUCUCAACAGACACGCUUAAGGUUGUGGUACUCAGUACUCAGGCACUGAUGGGACUCACUACACCAACAUCAUCGGAAGGUUGUUUAAUCUCUUCUCAAAGCCACUACAAAGAAGGAUCUACCAGAAUUCCCCCAGAAAAGAUUGCUACAUUCUUGAAAAUGACAAUAGGUUUGGAAGUAAUUAAUAACAUUGUAAAAUGAGCUGGGGGGUGCCUUGAAAGAAAUAAUCAUGGAUUGUUGAGUUUCAUAAGAAUAAAAAAUGUGGUUCCAUCUUUUAAGUAUUAUGUCAUAGUUUGUGACAGCAUAAUGUGAAAGCACAUAAGAAAGCAUCCAAAAUUAUCAAUUCCUUUUUUCAUGUACUAACACAUGUUAAAUUAGUCAGUAAGCCUUGAAGUUCUGCAUACCUGGUGAUUAAUUUGUUGUUUUGUGUUAAAAAAAGAGGUUCUAUCAUGCUAGAUUUACAGCACUACAAAAUUUCACAAUGUUGCAAUGCUGUCUUCAAUUCAGCUGCUUCAUAUUGAAAUUUCACACACAAUAAUUGGCUGACCUUCACAGCUAUGGUAGAAACUAAUUAAAGCUGUAAGGCUUUGCUAGCUAUUGCUUUUGUGUGAAAUGUGAAGUUUGGUGAUAAUGAAAUAUGGGGUGCAGAUGUUAUUGUCUUGGAUAGACUAUGCCUUUGGUUCACACUAAUGAAGAACAGCAAUUAUUAAAUAAGAAGUAUUUUAACCAUUCACUAUUUGUGUCUUGCAAGAAUAAAAUUUAUCUAGUAUUUUGUCUUCUUCUAACUUAUUUAAAACAUGAUCAGAGUGUAGGGGGGAUUUUAGAAUAACAGAUGGUUAUAUAAUUUUAUUUUUAGUAUUGAUCAUGGAUCUUAAGUGGGGGGCGUGGGAAACCUAUAGAUAGAAGAAUUUGCUUUUCCUCAACAAGAAGAAAUCAGGACAUGGAAGGAACCUGAUGCCUGACUUUUCUGCAGAGAAGAACAUGCAUGUCUGCCAUAGAACAUCUCCCACAUGUAGGGUCCAGGCUGUGUGCGCACAAACAGAGUAUCCCUGAGUAUCUGAGUGUUGGUGCUGACCUUUAAAACCAUAAACAGCCUCGGCCCAGUAAACCUAAAAGAGCAUCUCCACCCCCAUCAUUCAGCCCGGAGACUGAGGUCCAGCUCCAAGAGCCUUCUGGCGGUUCCCUCCCUUCGAGAAGCAAAGUUACAGGGAACCAGACAGAGGGCCUUCUUGGUAGUGGCACCCACCCUGUGGAAUGCCCUCCCAUCAGAUGUUAAGGAGAUAAACAACUAUACAACCUUUGGAAAACAACAUUUUGAAAGUUUUUUGAUGUAUAGGAAAGUUUUUUAAUGUUUAAUGUUUUAUUAUAUUUUAAUGUAAGUUGGGGUGUGAUGCGGGUGGCGCUGUGGUCUAAACCAAUGAGCUUGGGCUUGCCAAUCAGAAGGUCGGCGGUUCGAAUCCCCAUGACAGGGUGAGCUCCCGUUGCUUGGUCCCAGCUCCUGCCAACCUAACAGUUCAAAAGCACAUCAAAGUGCAAGUAGAUAAAUAGGUACCGCUCCGGUGGGAAGGUAAACAGUGUUUCCAUGCGUUGCUCUGGUUUCCAGAAGCGGCUUAGUCAUGCUGGUCACAUGACCCGGAAAAACUGUCUGUGGACAAACGCCGGCUCCCUCGGCCAGUAAAGCGAGAUGAGCGCCGCAACCCCAGAGCCACUCGUGACUGGACUUAACUGUCAGGGGUCCUUUACCUUUACUUUUAAUGUAUGUUGGAAGCCACCCAAUGUUGUUGUUGCUGCUGCUAUUUCUCCAGCCUCCACCUGUUUGCCGAAGCGUCAUGAGAUGACAAGUGCAUAAGAUGACAUGUGUCCCAUUCUGUUGCACACUCAUUUCUCUAAAUUAGAUUUUGAUGGGACUUGGCCUUUAAACAAAAGUCCACAUUAACCACAUACCAGUAAGUCAUUGGGGAGUAUGUUUGAUAGUAUGGAACCAGACCUGAGGAGAUGUAGGUUCAGCCAUGAAGCUCACGGGGCGACCUUGAGCCACGUCCUCUCUCACACAUGCACAGACCCACACAUCUUUAUGCCACAUGAUCAAUGUCAGGAUUAAAUCCUAUCCUGAGCUAUGUUAAGAGUUAGGGAUAAAAUAUAAUUAAAACACUUAUUUCUAGGAAUGAAUGGACUUGUUGUUUGGGGUUAUGUUAUAUUGUACCUAUUAUGCUUCAUGUUGUAAUCCAGGAGUGGAGGACCUUUGACGCUCCAGAUGUUGUUGGACUUUAACUCCCCUCAGCCCAGUCAGCACAGCCAAUGGUUAUGGACGAUGGGAGUUGUAGUCUAGCAUCACCUGGAAGGACAAAGUUUUCCCACCUCUGCUGUCAUGUAAUAUUUUUCUUUCUGUUGAUGAUGAUGACUAACAAUAAGUAGAUAAUCUGAAAGUUUACAGUUUUAAUGUAUAAAGGACUACCUUUAUACAGUGGUACCUUGGGUUACAUAUGCUUCAGGUUACAUACGCUUCAGGUUACAUACGCUUCAGGUUACAGACUCCACUAACCCAGAAAUAUUACCUCGGGUUAAGAACUUUGCUUCAGGAUGAGAACAGAAAUCAUGCUCUGGUGGCGCGGCAGCAGCAGGAGGCCCCAUUAGCUAAAGUGGUCUUCAGGUUAAGAACAGUUUCAGGUUAAGAACGGACCUCCAGAACGAAUUAAGUUCUUAACCCAAGGUACCACUGUAAUCUGAAAGUUUACAGUUUUGAUGUAUAAAGGACUACCUUUCUAUUAUUCUACAACUUCCAUCCCAAUUUUUCUGUUCAGAGGCUCUGUUCUCAGAAAAUACAACAUAGGCAGUUACCUCUGUAGGACCUUGUUUUUAACACCAAUGCCCCUGUUCAUUUCUUUUGAGGAAUUCAUUCUUCAAAAUUCAGAGUAUUUUUUCUUUAAGGAGUUCUGACAAUCCUAGAGUUAAGUAAUAGUGUCUUCAGAAAGGUCUAUUGUGGGCCUGAAUUUUAGUAAUUGACACCAAUAACAUAACAACAUUAAAUCAUCCACGUUUUUAUAGUGGAUAAGCCUUUAUGCUUGUAAAUAUGUUAAAGGAUAGCAUGUAGGUGGUAGAAGAAUUAUGCUACGAUUUUAACAGCUAAUAAAUCUUUAUUUAAGCAAGGGACCUCUAAAAUUUAAUUAGGCAUAUAAAAGCAGAGAUCAUUCAGAGGGUAAAAAUAUACCAAUUCUCAUACGAAAAGACAUCUGCUUUGUGAAAUUUUUUAAGGUUAAAAUUUACUCUUCUGUUCCUGUGUCAAUAGAAAUAGUUCUCCUGGUGGAAUUACAAAUGUGUAGCUUAAGAAGAAAAAAAAUCAUCAGCAAAUGUCAAGAUAUGAAAGAGCACUAUCUUUUUAGUGUGUCUUGCUGCCGUUGCAUGACUUUAAAGACUGCCAUUCCAGUCUAUAAGAAAAAGCCUCACCAUGAAACCUCAUUGCGUGGAAGUCAAAGAAGUGUUGUUGUCUUCAAGGUUAUUAUUACGAUUAUUGUUGUUUGUACUAUUGACCAGUAAAAUGCACAUGACCACUGCAGGCAGGGUAUUUCUGGAGGAAAUUAGCUGUGAAUUAGCUAAAUACUCUCAAGUCCAAUGGACAGCAUCACUCUUUUUUUAAAAAAAAGUUUUUAUUAAAGAAUUUUCAUAGAUAACAAGGGUACAUAUAACACCUCUGUUUUCAAUUCAUAGAGUCCUUCCUACAGGUCAGUUACAUUCGGUGUGAGACACUGUAAGGUAAAGGUAAAGGUACCCCUGCCCGUACGGGCCAGUCUUGACAGACUCUAGGAUUGUGCGCUCAUCUCACUCUAGAGGCCGGGAGCCAGCGCUGUCCGCAGACACUUCUGGGUCACGUGGCCAGCGUGACGAAGCUGCUCUGGCAAGCCAGAGCCGCACACGGAAACGCCGUUUACCCUCCCGCUAGUAAGCGGUCCCUAUUUAUCUACUUGCACCCGGGGGUGCUUUCGAACUGCUAGGUUGGCAGGCGCUGGGACUGAGCAACGGGAGCGCACCCCGCCGCGGGGAUUCGAACCGCCGACCAUGCGAUCGGCAAGUCCUAGGCGCUGAGGUUUUACCCACAGCGCCACCCGCAUCCCUUGUGAGACACUGUAGUCAUAAGCAAAAGAAUAAAAAGAUCAUUGCCUGCCUUCUUUCUCCCUCCCUCUCUCCCCCAUUCUCUCCCCCGCAGCCUCACAAUGUCUAUGGCAGCAUCACUCUUGAGAAAUCAGGAAGAAGGCUUCUCCACCCACCUGAGAACAAACUUCUUUUCAACUGGAGAUAUCCAAAAGUGCAUUGGGGAACCUUGUGAACAUAAACACUUGCAGU